rnacentral:rRNA from 1 species
CCUACGGGUGGCAGCAGUGAGGAAUAUUGGACAAUGGACGAAAGUCUGAACCAGCGACGUAGCGUGCAGGAUGACGGACCUCCGGGUUGUAAGCUGCUUUUAGUUGGGAAUAAAAGGGGGCUCGUGAGCCCCGUAUUGUAUGUACCAUCAGAAAACGGACCGGCUAAUUACGUGCCAGCAGCCGCGGUAAUACGGAGGAUCCGAGCGUUAUCCGGAUUUAUUGGGUUUAAAGGGAGCGUAGAUGGGUUGUUAAGUCAGUUGUGAAAGUUUGCGGCUCAACCCUAAAAUUGCAAUUGAUACUGGCAGUCUUGAGUACAGUUGAGGUAGGCGGAAUUCGUGGUGUAGCGGUGAAAUGCUUAGAUAUUACGAAGAACUCCGAUUGCGAAGGCAGCUUACUAAACUGCCACUGACAUUGAUGCUCGAAAGUGUGGGUAUCAAACAGGAUUAGAUACCCGUGUAGUC